AAUCAGCGUAAGCGAUAUAAAAAGCCCGUGACUUAAUGGUGCGGGCUUUUUUUGUUGUGCGCCAUUCGGUGAUGGCAA
rnacentral:SRP_RNA from 1 species